GACGAGCCUCACGAACGUUAUUCGGAAUUACUGGGCUUAAAGGGUGCGUAGGCGGCGCGGAAAGUAGGGUGUGAAAUCCCUCGGCUCAACCGAGGAACUGCGCUCUAAACUACCGUGCUCGAGGGAGAUAGAGGUAAGCGGAACUUAGGGUGGAGCGGUGAAAUGCGUUGAUAUCCUAAGGAACACCGGUGGCGAAGGCGGCAUCCUGGACCGACACUGACGCUGAGGAGCGAAAGCCAGGGGAGCAAACGGGG
rnacentral:rRNA from 1 species